rnacentral:lncRNA from 1 species
UCUUGGAAGCAUAGACCCAAGGCAAGGUACACAGCCGGGGGGUUCUUUUACUUACCCUCUUUCGAUCUUUUAUUCAUGCAGUAAAUAUUUAUGGAGUAUUAGCCAUGUGCUGGGCACUGUACUCAGUUGGAGUGUGGCUAUGAAGAGCCGUGCCUGUGGGAUAGAGGGAGAUGCCUUUCUUCUAGGAGCUCAGAUUCUGGGUUCAGAGGUGAGCAAACAAACAAAGGCAUGGUGACUGCAUGGUCGUCUAGGACAACAGAAGCAGGUGGGGAAACACAAGGUGAACAGACAGGAAGGACCUGCGGCUCCUACUGAGUGUGCUGCCGUAGAGCCUUCCAGAGCUGACUCACACAUAGCCAGAGAGGAUCCAGGAAAGCCUGCAGGCAAAGGGAUGGUGUGUGGUAAGACAGAAAGGCAAGGAAGCUUGCGCGAUGUGACACAGACAGCAAGAGAUCAGGAGUUACACAACAGAGUCGAAGGUACCAUUUGAUGAUACGAAUGAUACAGACAUUGGUGAAGAAGUCCAGAGUCUCACCCUGAACAGAGCACUCUGAAAUGUUUCCCGUGGGUCUGAGAUUCUGCAGCAUCAAGAGCGGGUCUAGACAAGAAACCUGGGGCUCAGCAGAAUGGCCAUCUUCAGCCUCUAAACAAGAAAAUCAUCUAGAGAGAGAAUUUUAAAGAAGAAGAUGGCACAAAAAAAAGAACCUGGAGCUGGAGCUGUCACCUGGCCGGGAGAAUUUGUAUCCCUUUGUGUCCUGUCUCAGGAGAAAGGGGGAGCAGAUGGAGCCUUUCUUCUGCUUGCUGUUUCUCCAUUGCCUUCAGCUCAACAGCAAACUUUAAAUUGAAGCUACAGAUGACAGAAUCUGCACACAUAGCAACGGGGAUGAUCAGAAGCAGCAAACGCAGUCAUGUGGGGUGACUCCAUUGCUCUCAUCAUCAUCCACGCGUGAACAUUUCGAAGCAUUUCUAUUGUUUUCAAACCCAAACUCCAUUUUCAGUUCUUCCACCUGCUAGCUAUGUGGUCCAAGGUGAGUGAUGUAGGCAGAUAGAUAGAGAGAGAGAGAGAGAGAGAGAGAGAGAACACAGCACAUAUUACACUCUGAGUAUGAGUUCUUAAAGACGUAUUUAUUAUAUGUAUGUACACUGUGGCUGUCUUCAGAUGCACCAGAAGAGGACAUCAGAUCUCAUUACCAUAGUUGUGAACCACCAUGUGGUUACUGGGAUUUGAACUCAGUACCUUCGGAAGAGCAGUCAGUGCUCUUAUCUGCUGAGCCAUCUCUCCAGCCCCGAGGGCUAUCUUUCCAUCCUACCUACUAGUAAAAAGAUCUGAGUUCAAGUCCUACCUGGACUACAGAACAAGUUCAAGGCCAGCCUGAGCAAUUUAGUGAGACUCAGACUCUAAGUAACAAAAACAACAGCAACAACAGAAAGAAAGCUGAGGAUAUAGCUCAGUGGUAAAAUGCUUGCACAGCAGGUCUGAAACUUCAAGUUCAAUCCUCAGUAUGGGGAGGGAAAAAUCAGGUUACUUGGAGGGAUGGUUCAAAUGGCACAGAGCACCUCCUGAUAGCCACCGAGGUUGUUUGUCUCUGUGGUCUGCCCUACUCUGGAUAUUCCAUAUAAAUGGAACCACGUAUCAGGCUUUUGUGUGUAUCUGGCUUCAUUCGCUCAGAAUGAUUUCAGCGUAGCAUGUAUCAGUGUUCCAUGUGUAUGUGUAAUGACCAAGAUUGUGUUAGUUACUUCCAUCUCCGUGUGACCAAAGUAUGUGACAGAAACUUAAAAGAGGAUUGAGUCUUUUUUUUUAAUUAGGUAUUUUCUUCAUUUACAUUUCAAAUGCUAUCCCAAAAGUCCCCCAUACCCUCCC